CGUCGGGAACCUGGUGAACUGAAACAUCUAAGUAGCCAGAGGAAAAGAAAACAACAUGUGAUUUCCAAAGUAGCGGCGAGCGAAAUGGAAAGAGGCCAAACCGGCGUGCGUGCAUGCCGGGGUUCGGACCGCGGAAUUGAUUCAGUGAGUUUAAUGGAAAGGUUUUGGGAAAGCCUGCCAAAGAGGGUGAAAGCCCCGUACAUGAAAGACGAGCUGACAUGGCGGUAUCCAGAGUACCACGAGACACGAGAAACCUUGUGGGAACACGCGGGGACCACCCCGUAAGCCUAAAUACUCCUUAGUGACCGAUAGCGCAUAGUACUGUGAGGAACGGUGAAAAGAACCCCGGGAGGGAGUGAAAGAGAACCUGAAACCCUGUGUUUACAAGCUGUGGAACAUCUUUAUAUGAUGAACCGCGUACUUUUUGUAGAACGGUCCGGCGAGUUACGCUGGCUGGCGAGGUUAAGGACUAAAGGUCCGGAGCCGAAGGGAAACCAAGUCUUAAUAGGGCGAGUUAAGUCAGUCAGAGUAGACCCGAAACCGGGUGAUCUACC
rnacentral:rRNA from 1 species